GAUGAACGCUGACAGAAUGCUUAACACAUGCAAGUCUACUUGAACUUCGGUUUGGGUGGCGGACGGGUGAGUAACGCGUAAAGAACUUGCCUCACAGAUAGGGACAACAUUUGGAAACGAAUGCUAAUACCUGAUAUUAUGAUUUUAGGGCAUCCUAGGAUUAUGAAAGCUAUAUGCACUGUGAGAGAGCUUUGCGUCCCAUUAGCUAGUUGGAGAGGUAACGGCUCACCAAGGCGAUGAUGGGUAGCCGGCCUGAGAGGGUGAUCGGCCACAAGGGGACUGAGACACGGCCCUUACGCCUACGGGAGGCAGCAGUGGGGAAUAUUGGACAAUGGACCAAGAGUCUGAUCCAGCAAUUCUGUGUGCACGAUGAAGUUUUUCGGAAUGUAAAGUGCUUUCAGUUGGGAAGAAAAAAAUGACGGUACCAACAGAAGAAGUGACGGCUAAAUACGUG
rnacentral:rRNA from 1 species